UGUUUACAUUGUUCGAAUGCUUCAAGUGC
rnacentral:sRNA from 1 species